UACGGGGGGGGCAAGCGUUGUUCGGAAUUACUGGGCGUAAAGGCGCGUAGGCGGCCUGAUAAGUAGGGGGUGAAAUCCUGCGGCUUAACCGCAGGGCUGCCUUCUAAACUGUCAGGCUGGAGCACAGUAGAGGCAGGUGGAAUUCCCGGUGUAGCGGUGGAAUGCGUAGAGAUCGGGAAGAACAUCAGUGGCGAAGGCGGCCUGCUGGGCGUGUUGCUGGACUGCUGAGGCGCGGACAGCGUGGGGAGCAAACAGGG
rnacentral:rRNA from 1 species